rnacentral:rRNA from 1 species
UGGCGGACGGGUGAGUAACGCGUGGAAAACCUGCCGUAUACUGGGGGAUAACACCUAGAAAUAGGUGCUAAUACCGCAUAAGCGCACAGCUUCGCAUGAAGCGGUGUGAAAAACUCUGGUGGUAUACGAUGGUUCCGCGUCUGAUUAGCUAGUUGGUGGGGUAAUGGCCUACCAAGGCAACGAUCAGUAGCCGGCCUGAGAGGGUGAACGGCCACAUUGGGACUGAGACACGGCCCAAACUCCUACGGAAGGCAGCAG